rnacentral:lncRNA from 1 species
GACAUAGAGAACAAUGUCUAUGUUUGCAUUUUCAGAGCUGAAUUCGGAAGCCUGCUUUGAAAUGAAGCUGGAGGGUGACGGUCCCAAAGGCUCAGUUGACCACACACCUGGGUUUCAACAUGGCCUCACUGAUGCCACAAAUGUCCUGAAAUGGAAGAUCCUGAAGAGAAAACUACUGUUGAGGAGGUGCCGAAUAGUAUGCAGAUUCCCUGAACUAGGACAAACAGAGCUGAAUUCAGGCGCCUGCUCUGAAAUGAAGCUGGAGGGUGAUGCUGCUGAAGGCUCAGGUGACCACACACCGGAGUUUCAACAGGGCCUCAUUGAUGCCACAAACAUCCUUAAAUGGAAGCUCUUGAAGACAAAAUUACUGUUGAGCAGGUGCCAAAUAGGAUGCAGAUUCCCUGAACUGGGACAAAGAGGUUUGUCCUGUAUAACAGCUCCUGUAAUCUCUGAGUGUUCGUACCUUGAAUUUCCAUGGGCUGCCACCUUGUCUGGACGUCCGUCUCCAUCUCUUGUUUGUACUGUGAACUGUGUUCCUACCCAGCGCUGGUGUCCCAACAUUUUAAAUGUCAUAAAGCUGAAUUUGAAUGCUUUCUUUGGAAUGAAACAACCUCCCAAGAUAGAAGGUGAUGUUCCGGAAGACUCAGUUGACCACGCAUGUGGGAUUAACCAUGGCUUCAUUGAUGCCCCAAAUGUCCUGAAGCAGAAGGUUAUCAAAAGAAUACUAUUGCUCAGCAAGCGCAGAAUAGAGUGCAGAUUCCCUGGAUCAACAUACAGAGGUGUGUUCUGUCCAACAAGUGAUGUAAUCCCUAUCUAUCCUUACCUUGGAUUUCUGAGGCCUGCUACCCUGUCUGGUCCUCCAUCUACAUCUCCUGUUUGCAUUCUGAAUGCUGCUCCUCCCCAGUGCUGUCGUCCUCAUACUUUAAGUGUUACAGGUAAGCCCAACCCAUGUUAUUUCCAUGUUAUGGAGAGCAUUAUUUGAGGUCCUUAGUACAUACAGUUUCCCAUAAUCCCAUACUUUCUUGGGUUUUCAUCUGUCUUCCCAGUUCCACUACCUCUUUCUUCUGGGUCCAUGGCCUUUCA